AGAAUCUUGGGCAAUGCGCGAAAGCGUGACCCAGCAAUGCCGCGUGCGGGAUGAAGGUCUUCGGAUUGUAAACCGCUGUCAACCGGGACGAACACAAUGACUGUACCGGUGAAGGAAGCCACGGCUAACUACGUGCCAGCAGCCGCGGUAAUACGUAGGUGGCGAGCGUUGUUCGGAUUUAUUGGGCGUAAAGGGUUCGCAGGAGGUUUGUUAAAAUUGGGGUGAAAUCCCGGGGCUCAACCCCGGAAUUGCCCUGAUGACUGACAGACUAUGAGUGCUGGGGAGGUAAGCGGAAUACCAAGUGUAGCGGUGGAAUGCGUAGAUAUUUGGUAGAACACCAAUGGCGAAGGCAGCUUACUGGACAGCUACUGACUCUCAGGGACGAAAGCGUGGGGAGCAAACA
rnacentral:rRNA from 1 species